rnacentral:rRNA from 1 species
CGUAGUUGAAAUUGUGUCCUGCGGUGUCGGUCUACCGAAUGCGGUACGACAGGCACGUCUGCGGGGCUUCUCGCCGGUGCGUCCACCGCCGGUGUGUCGCGGUCGUCCUCACGGUCGGCCGCGCGCCGAGGCGGGCCGUCGCGGCUGUUUACUUUGAACAAAUUAGAGUGCUCAAAGCGGGCUAACACUUGCCUGAAUAUUGUACGCAUGGAAUAAUAGAAUAGGACCUCGGUUCUGUUUUGUUGGCUUUCUGAUACCAGAGGUAAUGAUUAAUAGGGACAACUGGGGGCAUUCGUAUUGCGACGUUAGAGGUGAAAUUCUUGGAUCGUCGCAAGACGGACUAAAGCGAAAGCAUUUGCCAAAGGUGUUUUCAUUAAUCAAGAACGAAAGUUAGAGGUUCGAAGGCGAUUAGAUACCGCUGUAGUUCUAACCAUAAAUGAUGCCAGCCAGCGAUCCGCCGAAGUUUCAUAAUUUUAACCCGGUGGGCAGCUCCCGGGAAACCAAAGCUUUC